CAACAAUGCGGCUCUCCGUUCUCGCUGUGUUCUGGGUCACAUUCAUUGUCGAUCUGAGCGAUGGAGGUUCUGUUACUAAACAGGAACCCUUACUCACACAGACAGAGGGAGAAGAUGCCACUUUAACCUGCACCUAUACCGACGAUGGUUAUUAUUUAUUCUGGUACCGUCAAUAUCCAGGCAGGCAGCCCGAGUUUGCAGUCCAGAUGGACAAGGGUGGAGGUUCUGAAUUUAAGGCGGAUUUCGCUCAGAAUCGGUUUUCUGAUACUGUCCAGCAGACAGACAAGUCGCACCGAUUGACUAUCUCGGAGCUACGGCUGUCUGACACCGCGGUCUAUUACUGUGCACAGAGUCUCACAGUGAUGGAAACGAGUGACAACCUCGUACAAUAA